GCACCAGUAGCUCAGUCGGAUAGAGUACCUGGCUACGAACCAGGUGGUCAGAGGUUCGAGUCCUCUCUGGUGCG
rfam:Chlamydophila pneumoniae AR39, complete genome.